rnacentral:rRNA from 1 species
AACGCUAGCUACAGGCUUAACACAUGCAAGUCGAGGGGCAGCGCAGUGUAGCAAUACAUGGGCGGCGACCGGCGCACGGGUGCGUAACGCGUAUCCAACCUUCCCGUUACUCAGGGAUAGCCUUCCGAAAGGGAGAUUAAUACCUGAUGGUGUUCAAAUUCCGCAUGUUAUUUGAACUAAAGAUUUAUCGGUAACGGAUGGGGAUGCGUGACAUUAGAUAGUAGGCGGGGUAACGGCCCACCUAGUCUACGAUGUCUAGGGGUUCUGAGAGGAAGGUCCCCCACACUGGAACUGAGACACGGUUCAGACUCCUACGGGAGGCAGCAGUGAGGAAUAUUGGUCAAUGGUCGGAAGACUGAACCAGCCAAGUAGCGUGAAGGAUGAAGGUUCUAUGGAUUGUAAACUUCUUUUAUACGGGAAUAAAACCUCCCACGCGUGGGAGCUUGUAUGUACCGUAUGAAUAAGCAUCGGCUAACUCCGUGCCAGCAGCCGCGGUAAUACGGAGGAUGCGAGCGUUAUCCGGAUUUAUUGGGUUUAAAGGGAGCGUAGACGGGAGAUUAAGUCAGUUGUGAAAGGCUGCGGCUCAACCGCAGCACUGCAGUUGAUACUGGUUUCCUUGAGUUCGGUUGAGGUGUAUGGAAUUCGUGGUGUAGCGGUGAAAUGCUUAGAUAUCACGAAGAACUCCGAUUG